CUCUUGAGAGUGUUAAAGUCCUGAUGUUACAUAUUUUUGUAACUAGCAGGGCAUAUUAACCACUGUGUGAAGCCUGAGCUACCCAAACAGCCUUCACAGCCACAUGGACUAUAAGCAAGGAGUCAGUUUGUAGAAGCUUGGCGUUAUGGACAAGGCAAUUCUGAAUUUCUUCUGCAAAAAUGAAGUGGCAUACUAUGACAAAUCUAUCACCUGCUCCAGGAAUACUUGCAUUGCUAACUGAAAAGCUGGAAUUUCUCUUGCAGAGACAAGAUCACUCCUGUAGUUCUUUACUAAAGAAAUUUCCAGUAUGGUAUGAACUCUUUGUUCUAGACUAGAACAGUCUGCAUCAUCUGUCUCUUGUCUCCUCUGUCAUGUUCACUCCAUCAAAUCAAGGGAUUAGGAGUCGUCUUAAUACUUUUGUUUCCUGUCCAUACUGCUCCUACAAGGAGACUGAUCUACAGGAGAUGCCAUUAGAUUCUGGUGACUUACAGUGGCCAAAGACAUGCUUUCCUAGCAUGACGCACAGCAGAGCUGGUGAUGAAGAGGCUUCCUGCACACAUGUAUCUGGAAUCAUCAAGGUCAAGGGCUUGUUGUCACUUCUCGGACUGAUCUGGAUGGCCAAGAGUGCUUUGAAAAGUCAAGAUAUGCUGUGCUGUUAAUAGACGCUUCAGCAGCUCCAGGAUAACUGUAACAUGGUUUAUGAUGAGCACUGGAAAACUGGAGAGGAAAUCAGCCCUGGAAUUAACUCUAUGACUUGGUCUGCUGCAGCAUUAGGUCCAAAAGAAGUGUGUAGGUUGCUCCAAAAUUAAUGUCUCCUAUUUAUUUUCAUGGAAAUUACAACAGAUACAAAGAGCACAAUAACACUGUUUGAUAGAGCAUUUGAUAGGUUUUUCAACAUAAUCACCACCAUUAGCUCUGCAUUUUCACCAGCAACAGACAACGG
rnacentral:lncRNA from 1 species